rnacentral:lncRNA from 1 species
GACCGCAGUACGGGGCAGACAAUUGGAACAGGACUUGAAUCAGAAGGACUUUACUACCUUAACUCACUAAAAUCCUCCAAGGCAUGUCUAGUUGCAGAUCCUCCAGACCUAUUUCACAGAUGUUUAGGACAUCCUAGCUUGUCCGAGCUUCAAAAGAUGGUGCCUAUUACUACCUUAACUCACUAAAAUCCUCCAAAGCAUGUCUAGUUGCAGAUCCUCCAGACCUACUUCACAAACGUUUAGGACAUCCUAGCUUGUCCAAGUUUCAGAAGAUGGUGCCUAGUUUGUCUAGUUUAUCCACAUUAGAGUGUGAGUCAUGUCAGCUCGGGAAACAUACUCGAGCCUCCUUUCGUCGUAGUAUUGAGAGUCAUGCAGAGUCUGUUUUUUCUUUAGUUCACUCUGAUAUAUAGGGUCCUAGUAGAGUCAAUUCAACUUUGAGAUUUUGUUAUUUUGUUAGUUUCAUUGAUGAUCAUUCAAGAUAUACUUGGAUUUUCUUAAUGAAAGAUCAUUGUGAGU